rnacentral:rRNA from 1 species
GAUGAACGCUGGCGGCGUGCCUAAUACAUGCAAGUCGAGCGAACGGACGAGAAGCUUGCUUCUCUGAUGUUAGCGGCGGACGGGUGAGUAACACGUGGAUAACCUACCUAUAAGACUGGGAUAACUUCGGGAAACCGUAGCUAAUACCGGAUAAUAUUUUGAACCGCAUGGUUCAAAAGUGAAAGACGGUCUUGCUGUCACUUAUAGAUGGAUCCGCGCUGCAUUAGCUAGUUGGUAAGGUAACGGCUUACCAAGGCAACGAUGCAUAGCCGACCUGAGAGGGUGAUCGGCCACACUGGAACUGAGACACGGUCCAGACUCCUACGGGAGGCAGCAGUAGGGAAUCUUCCGCAAUGGGCGAAAGCCUGACGGAGCAACGCCGCGUGAGUGAUGAAGGUCUUCGGAUCGUAAAACUCUGUUAUUAGGGAAGAACAUAUGUGUAAGUAACUGUGCACAUCUUGACGGUACCUAAUCAGAAAGCCACGGCUAACUACGUGCCAGCAGCCGCGGUAAUACGUAGGUGGCAAGCGUUAUCCGGAAUUAUUGGGCGUNAAGCGCGCGUAGGCGGUUUUUUAAGUCUGAUGUGAAAGCCCACGGCUCAACCGUGGAGGGUCAUUGGAAACUGGAAAACUUGAGUGCAGAAGAGGAAAGUGGAAUUCCAUGUGUAGCGGUGAAAUGCGCAGAGAUAUGGAGGAACACCAGUGGCGAAGGCGACUUUCUGGUCUGUAACUGACGCUGAUGUGCGAAAGCGUGGGGAUCAAACAGGAUUAGAUACCCUGGUAGUCCACGCCGUAAACGAUGAGUGCUAAGUGUUAGGGGGUUUCCGCCCCUUAGUGCUGCAGCUAACGCAUUAAGCACUCCGCCUGGGGAGUACGCCCGCAAGGUUGAAACUCAAAGGAAUUGACGGGGACCCGCCCAAGCGGGGGGAGCAUGUGGUUUAAAUUCGAAGCAACGCGAAGACCCUUCCCAAAUCUUGACAUCCUUUGACAACUCUAGAGAUAGAGCCUUCCCCUUCGGGGGACAAAGUCACAGGUGGUGCAUGGUUGUCGUCAGCUCGUGUCGUGAGAUGUUGGGUUAAGUCCCGCAACGAGCGCAACCCUUAAGCUUAGUUGCCAUCAUUAAGUUGGGCACUCUAAGUUGACUGCCGGUGACAAACCGGAGGAAGGUGGGGAUGACGUCAAAUCAUCAUGCCCCUUAUGAUUUGGGCUACACACGUGCUACAAUGGACAAUACAAAGGGCAGCGAAACCGCGAGGUCAAGCAAAUCCCAUAAAGUUGUUCUCAGUUCGGAUUGUAGUCUGCAACUCGACUACAUGAAGCUGGAAUCGCUAGUAAUCGUAGAUCAGCAUGCUCCGGAGAGUACGUUCCCGGGUCU